UAAUCCAAACCCAAAUCAAGAAUGAUGAAAUCUCCACUAAUCCAAACCCAAAUCAAGAAUGAUGAAAUCUCCAUAAGUCAAGAAUGAUGAAAUCUCCACUAAUCCAAACCCAAAUCAAGAAACCCAAAAAUAAGGAAAAAGUAGAGGAUAUAAUUUGUAGAAUGAUGGCUAAUAGGGCUUGGACUACUCGGUUACAGAACUCUAUUCGUAGUUUAGUUACUCAAUUGAUCAUGACUUGGUUUAUAAUGUGUUGCAUGGUGCUCGAAAUGUGGAGCACGCGCUUCAGUUCUUUUGGUGGGUUGAGCGUGUGGGGUUGUUUAAGCAUGAUUAUGCGACGCGUUGUAAGAUCAUUGAGAUUUUAGGACGUGUAUCAAAUAAUUUACUGGAGGAUCAUUGAGAUUUUAGGACGUUCAAGCCAAUAAUUUACUGGAGGAUCAGAGUCAGCUUGAAUCAGGCUGUCUGAGCUUGAACGAGUCAGGCCCGUAUUGUACUUUUGUAGGAGUUUAUGAUGGACUUGUGGCCGUGAGACAUUGCGUUUAUCAGUGUUCAACUCUUUCAGCUUCUAAAGACCAGCAGCUUCUAGAGAGAGUUUUCCACAAGAAAUGGACCAACUCGUGGACUAGGAUACAAAAAUCUGCAAGAUCAUAUAUAAAAUGCCUAUAAUGACAAAGUUACGCUGUAUCACUCUGGAUGUUACUGGCACAUUAAUAGCUUACAAGGGGGAUCUAGGUGUCUACUAUUGCAUGGCAGCCAAAUCUGUAGGACUGCCGUGUCCAGACUACAAGCGUGUACACGAGGGCUUUAAAAUUGCAUAUACAAACAUGGCAAAAGAACAUCCCUGUUUUGGGUUUGCAGAGAAAAUUCCCAACAUUGUGUAGUGGAAAACUUGUGUUAGAGACUCUUCUGUAAAGCCAGCAGCUUCUAGAGAGAGUUUUCCACAAGUAAUGGAAGUUGGCAGAAACAAUGGAAAUUGUGACAACUGCAGCGAUCAUCACAAAGUCCUGGUGUUCUCAGAUCACAUCUAGGGCAACUAUGUCAUCAAGUUUCUGUUGGCAUGAAAAAUGGUUUCAGGACAGACUUUUCACCUUGCAGGUACAUUUUUCAUUUCUUAGUUAUCAUUCACAAGAUUGAUACCAGGACACCUGAGCAAUUAACGAUUUUUCAGCGGAGACACGCAUAUGACAUGAUAAUAGAAAAGAGGCGAAAUAGACUUGAAGUGUUUUUUUACCAUUACAAUUAGAGAGAAAUAGAUAAGCUAUUGGUGACUACAAUUAUCUCAUUAAAUUUAUUUUUCUUUCGUUGCUUAUAUGAAAAGUAAAUUAAUUUUUUUGUUUUAUAGUCUGGUCUUUUAAAAUAUUUUACAAAUUAAUGCCGUGUUACUUAUUGACAAAGGCUUUUACUACAAUAUGUAUCAUAUAUCAACAAAUAACUCUUAGCUUUAUAACUAUAAGAACAAGAGGAGCUAUUUAGAAAGGAAAAGAAAAGAACAAGAGGAGUCACUCUAGCUAAAAUAAGUUUAUGUCUUCGCAGUUAUGUCAUUUUUCUAACCUCCAACCUUUUUCUUUACUUUUUUUCCUUAUAUAUUUAAAAAGAAGAAGAAGGAGGAGGAGGAGGAGGGAUAAGAGCCAAAGUUGGCUAAAAUAUUAUACCUGAAGAAGUUGUUCGAGCAAAAACUGCUUGAAUGUAUUGUUUUGGUAGAUUUCCCGAAGAUCCUAUCAGAUUUUGUUUUAUUAAGCCAUCAGCCAAACCACAAAAUAUGACUUCGGUGACUACUAAAUUAAAGUCAGUAGCUGAUCUCACUCUCUAUUGCUUGCUGAACCAAGCCGAAUAUAAUCGGACUUGCCAUUACUGAGAGAAUACACAAUUACACAUGGAAAAUCCCAUGUUCACUUGCAACUUGAAGUUCAGUUUUUUUGCUCAAAUUACUACCCCAACUUAUCAUCACCACUAAGACCAGUACAUAUGAGCUUUGGACUGACAUAUUACUUGAUCCUAUGUGCAUAUUAAAAAGCAGAGGUGCUUUAGAAUUGAUCAAUAUAAGAAACAUGUAUAAAACAAAUACUAAAUUAAAACAAGAUAACAUGGUAGUAGUAUUUGUUUUUUUCCAGUAUAUGAGAGCAUAAUUUAGAUCUGAAUUUUAUAAACAUAAUACAAUCGACUAUGCAAAAUAAGAGAGGGAGCAUAAAUAGGAAUCAGCUUAUGUAAAUGUCUUUUAGCUCCCUAUUUAUUUAUUAUUUCAAAAGUUCAUUGUUAUUUGAAAAUAAUCUAAAUAUGAUUACUAAAUUAUUACCAAUUAAUCAUCGUAAAGUAGAGUUAAUCUUUUUGCACACAUUUUUAUGUUCUUAGACUAUAUAAUUAAAAUUAAUAUUAUUAAUUGAUUUUUCGGUAAUUAGAAUUUAGAUUAUAUAUGUUAUUUGUAAAAUAAAAAUUCGAAAUUUAGUUAUUCAGCCAAAAACAUUUAAUAAUGUACGCAUAAAAGUCAAAAAGCGUACAAAAUAAAAGAUGAAACAAAUAAAGUAUUUGCCAGUUAGAAGCUUUAUGGCCAUAAAAAUCAAUUAAGGUAAUUUGUUUAUAAGUAAGAAGAUAUAAUAUUGUUUAAUUGUUUUAAGCUAAAAGGGGAUUAUCUUAUUUAAUUGGUUUUUUUUAAGAAGUUGAUGGAACAAUCAGUUCAUAUGUGCAAAUCUAUUAUUGCAUAAAAUUUGGGUAUCGUAUCCAUAUGAUUUUGUUUCCCUUUUUAUGGCCAUAGGAUUUUACCUGAUUUAUAUUGAAUUGAAGCGUAGAAGUUAAGAUGUUUAUAAAUUUGCGAAAUUUGUGUAUAUGAAUGUUAUUUGCGGGGAAAUAUAGGCUUGAGGUAUGUUAACUUGCAUGCUCCCGAGUCCUGCCAUUAUGUUGCUUUCUUAAUUAUUAACGAUAAAUGAUUCGCAGAGUAAUAAUCUUGCGCCCUGAAUAAGGGUAUUCAUAAAUAUAAACAAACAUUUAUAAAAGCUAUAACACCUCGCUUGAUCUAUGAGCAAUGUGUCUUGUAUGAACAUCGUUUGCUUCUAAAGUUGGUGUAUCAGUUAUUGAAUUAAUAUUUUAUUAAGUACAUAUGCUAACAAGUCACAAUUGUCUAUUUCUCAAGCUGGUAAAUGGAGCAAACUUUUAGGAAAAGAGGCAGACCGAGAAUUGUUGUUAUAGAGGAUAUUCUUGAACACCUUUUAUGUAAUAUUAUUUUAGUUGAGGGAUGCAAAUAUAUAAUUUGAACCCGAUAUAUAUUGUCAUGUAUGCAUGUUAUCCCUCUAUUCUUCA